GAAAAGAAUUUGAAAAACCUUGAUAAAUAUUUUUCCCUAAGAUUAAAAAUCAGUAGAGAAAAAUUACAUUCAAAAUUCUGAUUAGGUGAACAAUGUAAAAACGAAAAAUGCACCUUCAACUUUUUGCAACUCGAUGAAGAUCUCAGCGGUGAUACCAGGGAAGACCAAAGGAGGAGGUUAGAGCUCGGCGUAAGAUAGCUUACAACUCUACCAAAAAAUUUGUUUUGAUUUUUUAUUUUUCUAAAGG
rnacentral:lncRNA from 1 species